rnacentral:rRNA from 1 species
UACGGAGGGUGCAAGCGUUAUCCGGAUUCACUGGGUUUAAAGGGUGCGUAGGUGGGCUGGUAAGUCGAGUGGUGAAAUCUCCAGGCUUAACUUGGAAACUGCCAUUGAUACUAUUAGUCUUGAAUACCGUGGAGGUCAGCGGAAUAUGUCAUGUAGCGGUGAAAUGCUUAGAUAUGACAUAGAACACCAAUUGCGAAGGCAGCUGGCUACACGAAUAAUUGACACUGAUGACACGGAAAGCGUGGGGGAUCAACAGG